AUCUCACACACAUACCCAUUCAAAACAGUUUUUCACUCAUUUUAUUCUUUUAGAGAGAUGGGUAGCAUAUUAUCCGCUUUGUUUAUUUUAUUUAAAAAUAAAUUUAGCUAAAAUUAUAAAUUGCUUAGGAUUCAAAUGAGAUCUCGAAUAUCAACCAUCAAGCUUUUUGUCACUUACGCUAGACGGCUCAUUUUUUUUUUUU
rnacentral:lncRNA from 1 species